rnacentral:misc_RNA from 1 species
UCAAAUUUUGUUCUUUCCUCAGACAAUUUUGAGGACUACUCAGCGGAAGUCCACAAGGAUCUGAUCCAGAGAGGCGUUGAUAAGAUUAAUUAACAGACUACCAGUACUCCACAUAAGGUGCGUUCCUUCAUCCAGGAUAUACAGAGAGUGACAGAUACUCAGCAAAACCCCCGACAGUCACGGCGAUAGACACUGGGAGACACACAGAGAGCCAAGAUGGGGCGUAAGAAAAUACAGAUAUCAAGGAUAAAUGAUGAGAGAAAUAGACAGGUCACCUUCACGAAGAGGAAAUUUGGCCUGAUGAAGAAGGCGUACGAGCUCAGCGUGCUCUGCGACUGCGAGAUCGCGCUGAUCAUCUUCAACAGCAGCAACAAGCUGUUCCAGUACGCCAGCACAGACAUGGACAAAGUCCUGCUGAAAUACACCGAGUACAACGAACCACACGAAAGCAAGACCAACCAAGAAAUCAUUGAGUUGCUGAACAAGAAAGAAAACAAAGGCUGUGAUAGUCCGGACCAAGACGUAGAGGGCUACAACUGCACGUUGACACCGCGCACAGAGGCCAAAUACAGCAAAAUCAAUGAGGAAUUUGACCGAAUGAUGAACGGAAACAUGUCAAGGGGUCAAGCGAUGGCCAACAACUACCCAAACUCCAUGCCCGUGGCAAUCCCCAUUUCUGAGCAGCAGCAGCAGCAGCAUCAACAACAGCAGCAGCAGCAGCAAGCACACCAGCACCAGCAGAUGACGCACAUCUACAACAACAGCCCGCCCAGCCAGCCCACGCUGGUCAGCAGCCCCCAGCUGAUGCAGCCGCCUGCCACGGCUCCCCGACAGAGCCUGAGCCCCCAGCCCCCGAUGUCACGGAUCAGUCUCAGCCCGCAACCACAACAACAGCAGCAGCAGCAGCACCAUCACAGUCCACACAUGAGGACCAGUCUAAGUCCACAGCCUAGCAUGAUGAGGAAUACCAUCUCGCCUCAACCGCCUCGUCCUGCCAGCACAGGGUGCUUGGUGAGCGUUAGCGAGGACCCCGACAAAACAAACAGCAGAGACAAGACAGACUCCGAGCAACGAGAAGGAGGUAACACGUAUCUGGGACCUCCACACAGCUCCGGUGUCAUGAGUCCCAUAUCACCCAACAGUGGCACCAACAACAACCUCCCACUGAAAUCCAUGAACAAGCAGCAGUUCACGCAUCGACAUGGGCUCAAGGUUGUCAUACCCACGUCAAGACCCGGCCUGCAAAACAAUAUUGGAAUCUCUUUAAAUCAGUCGUUAGCCACACCCACUGUGUCAUUAACCACGCCCAGUAAUCCGCACGGCGUAAUACCAAACUACCCAUCAGCCCUACCGACAGGAUACCACACAGGAACCGAGUUCCAGUUGACAAGUGCCGACCUCAAUCAGAUCAACUUCAAUUCGCCCAGUGGGCUCACGAUGCCCAACUGGCACACCCAGUCCACCCAGGCAGGACCACUCACGGCGGCGAUACAGGCCGCAGGAAUCACGGGCCAUCCACUGAGUGUAUCCACGUCAUCCAUGCCGGUCCAGAACUCCUUCACCACCCCGACGUCCAUCAAAUGCGAGCCCCUGUCGCCCCCGAGGGACCGCAAGCUCAACCCCCAGAUGAUGCCCAACCAGCCCAGUACCUCGCCGGGGCCGGCUGACCCCAACGGUUCACCCCAGUACAGCGAUCACGGCGGGCGCGCCUUAGUGGAUAAAGACCUCCCGCCUUCCAAACGGCCCAGAAUAUCGGAGGCGUGGGUCCGGUGAACAGGUCUCCGAUGUUUUUAAUUUUUUCCUUCUCUGGCCUUUUACCAAAUUUAGUUCCUUUGUUUUAUAAAGGCAAUCACCUCCAUUUUUGAGGAAGUCUUAUUUUGUUUUUUCUUAAUGACAAGGGGCCACUAAUUUGCAGUGGAAGAAGAGCAUGUGUAUACUUCAAAGCUGUAGGUUUGUUCCAGUCUUUUAUUAUUAACCAAUAUAUUAUUAUCUGUAAUGUCACUAUAAACUAAAUAGUGCAUUUAAACCAUGAACCGUAUCACGACUAGUGGGGAGGGGGGGGGGGGCACAGUGUUUCUCUCCCCCCCCCCCUCCGAAACUUCUUGUAAUAACUCUGGAACCUUUAGCUGAUCAGCACGAAAUUUGGUGACUUUUCUUAACUUCAGGGGUCAAUAUGAUUCCAUACAAAUUAUGUAGUGUUGACAGCUCAGUUUACGUGGCAGCAAAAGUUAUAAGCCCUUCUGGCAUUACGGGAUGUUCUAUAAUUGUUUUUCCUCAAUUUUUUUAAAGACUAAUCUCUUACAAAAAGAAACCUACAGCUUCUGAAUGUGUAUUAACACAGAUCUCCAUUACUUCUACUGCAGUCCAUUCAAAUUAAAAACAAAACUUCCUAGUUUAGGAGGGGUGGGGGUGACUUUAACCCCCCCAAAAAAGAAAGUUACUGCCCAGAUUUUCUUCCAAAAGGCUGAAGAUGCUGUAAAGUAUUUGUUCGUAUACAUUUUGUAAUCUUGGGUUGUCGUGUUUUUUUAGUAAACGGAGUGCACGUAACGCACUUUGUGUGGAUAUCUCUGUGUUAACGUAUAUCUGCACAAGUUGUCUGUCAGUGGGGUAUUGUUUUUGACGUCAGUACAGAAAUACAGCUGCACAGUGCACGCGACCAAUAUCUUCUCAAGCACCCCUUUCCACCCCUCAGAAACUAAAAUUAUUAAACAGAAUGUCUUGUAAGAAUGGAGUGUGUUACCCGUUUUCUUUUCUUGUUUUGUCUCGUACUUUGAGUUUGUCUUGUGGCUGUGCCAUUGUAACAAGAGAAUUGAUUUUUGGUGUUUUUGUUCCUUUGUGAUGUGAUUCAAAUUUGUAUUGACUUAAAAAAUAAAAAAAAAACGAUUAUUUUUUAGAAAAAGAUGUUUAUACACAAAACAAUUGGGGGCUGGGCCCCAACAGAAUUCUUUGCUUUGUGUGGACUAGCAUAGAGAUGUAUUUAAUCACAAGCGAAAUAUUUUAUUUUUGUUGAAAUUUGCAAAAAAAAGCUGUAAAUUAGGCUUUUAAUACAGAUGUAUACAAAUUGUUUCUCUAGAUUUGCAACAACUCUCUUGAAAACCUUUUGCGUUGAAUCAGUGAUUUAUCCAAUAUUUGCAAUGAGUUCUGUAAAGGUUAAUUCCUUUUUCCAAUUUUGACUUGCUUUUUCCUUAUUUAGAACCAACUGACGUAAGCAAGGGUGAGAUUUGUCAAGAUUUUGUUCCUAAUUUCAGGACUUUUCAUCGGGAAUUCUUCCGAUUUCAGGAUUUUGAAAGAGUCCCUUUUUAAUCUGUAAUCCCUGAGGGUUUUACCGUAAAGGUGUUUUUACCUUUCAAAGUUUAAUAGAACCCCCCAAAAAUUGGAUAUUUUAAGAGAUGCCUUUAGGCAAAGUACAAACAUAUACCACAGACCCUACGUUGCCCUGCUGCCCCAGGGAACCUCAAACCCUUCGCUGAUUAUUUUGUGGAUUUUUCAUUCGAUUAAAAAUUGAAGAACAUAUAUGAUCCUUAUUUGGAGUCAAAAUUUUUUCCUUGAAAGCACAGAAAUGUCCAGCCUUUUCAUAGAAUGAAAUAACUUGGGUUGCCCAAUAUUUGCAUAAAUACCUAUAAAUACAUGCAAAUAUUUAGAUUCUAUUCAUGAGCACAAUGUAGCUCUCGUUAAACUACGUGUAUAAUGUAUGACCCUCGCGCCAAAUAUCUGUUCUUCUUUCCUUCUUUUUUCUCUCCAAAUAUUGGAGUAUUCUGUUCAGCAGUUUGUGAAUAGCGCAUCUUUUUGUUUUUUGGAUUGAGUAUACAUGUACAUGUAUCUUGUAGACUUUCUGUUCCAUUGACUUAAUGUGUUUUGUGUUACACAAGACGGUUAUUGAUGUAUAUUAUUUUGACUUUAAUAGCUAUUUUAGAUUUAUAUUUCAAAAAAAUGGAUGUUCUACUAUAUAAUUUGUGUGUAUAUAGCAUUCAAUUAACUUAACAGGACUAGGAUGCUGUUUUUGUAUACAAAGUAAUUAUUAAAAAAAACAAAAUAGCACACUAGUCAACUACUUUCUAUAAAAAAAAUAUAAAAAAAAUUAAUGAAAACUACAUUGAAAUAAAUGAUUUUUUUAAAAAAGACGAAUGAACUGGAAUAUGUUUUUUAAGAUCAGGGAAAAAGAUUGGUUUAUAAAGCAGCUGUAGAAAGAUAUGUGGUUUUCUUUAAAAAAAUACAAUUUCAGAUUGACAUGACUUUAAAUAUUCAACACUUCCAAAUGGGGAAAUAAUAUCUGUACAAAUGUAAUACAAAUGAAAGUGUAUAAGAAAAAAGGAAAAAGGAAACAUGAAAAUGUUACAAUAAGAAAAUCUGUAUAUGGGAUGUUGAACUUCACUAAAUGUGUUAUCUUUAUUUACAGUUAUUUCAAAGUAUAAUCCAUAUUAUUAUGGCUGUCAAGAAAGUUAUCCAAACGAUGUGCAAAGUAUUCUUUGCCCCCACCCCAAAAUAGGACUGCUUUGUUUGAAAUCAGAAAAAUCUUGAAACAUGCUAUCUCUGUAUCAAAACUUGUAAUGCACAUGUUAACUUCGGGUCAAUAGAAUACUGCAGCUAUUUUCUUACUAAAGCAUAGAUCUAAAACAAACUCAAAUCUAUUGAAAUUGUAUGUAUAUGUACAGUUCAAACAGGGGCAAGGUAUUCUGUGCCACACAAUCUACCGUUCAGAUAUAUAGCUGAUGAAUAUCUUACUCACAGAUCUUAUAUUAUAGUACUGAAUAUUUUUCUGGCAGUGGUGAUACACAAUUCUGUAAAUAGCUCCAUAUGGGAAUAUGUCAUUUGUCAUUCGGGUUUUGUGGUAACUGGCAUGGCUGGUACAAAUUUUUUUUUUUAACCCAGGGCUCAUGUCUAGGUCUGACAACAAAUAUCCAUUUAGCCCCGCCCACAGUGGGCAACAUGUCUAGGUCUGACAACAAAUAUCCAUUUAGCCCCACCCACAGUGGCAACAACUUGUGCAUCUCCAAUGCCACACUGCAUGUUCAAGCAACACAGGUCAUAUGCACAUGUAGUCUGGUUCCCAGACCAAAAGAUUCCGACUAUUCUGUGGUCAGGUAGCCGCAAGGGUUAAAAUAACAAAACUGACCAAAACUGGGCAGGAUCCUUUGCAAAAAUGUCCAAAUUUUGCCGAACAAAUUUCAUUGACACUUGGAUAUGUUCGCAACAGUGUAAAAUAGUUUCUAUUUUUCAACAAUAUACCUGUCAUGUUUGUUAUCGGUUUUGAAAAAAAAGUUCAUAAAUUCAGUGCUUGCAUUUAAAAAGAUGCAAUGCCAGGUAUAUUAGCAAGAAUCUGUAUUAAAUGUCCAGUGUGCAGACGUUGUGUCUCGUGCGAGGGCUGUUGGGCUGUGCUGUGUUAUCUUCUAGUUUUGAAUGUUGUGCUUACCUGACCUAAGAUUUUGUCAGAAUGGUUAGAAUCAUUUGGUCUGGGAACCAGACUAACGCACAUGUCAUCCUUGUGCACGCAUGUCAGACAUCAGUCACCGCUGUAAUUGGUCAAAACAUUGGAAGGGGCUUCAUUGAACCCUCUCUGUAAAAUCUGUACAGUUGCUGUAAAAUGGAGGCUCUGUUGUGCGCUUAGCAGUGCCAUGAGACUGGGCCAAGGUGGUUUUACUUGUUAAAAGCUGUCACUACUAUUCACGUGCCACACACCCAGCACCUUGUCGUAACCCCCUGUUCUUCCUUUUCACUGGUUCUCUGUUCUCCCUCUCCCUUCGUCCCACCCAAGUUGACCAGAGACUUAAUAAUGUCACACCAUGUUUCAUUGCGUAACAUUCUUAGAGCCAGGUGGGGGACUCGCGAUUGUGUCAUGAAUUUUCAUGAUUGGAAUAUUGUCCCUAUCUGUAGCAUGCGACAAACACCAGAACUACAGUUUUGCAAGUUCCCAUCACAGACUUUGGGCAGAGCAUUCUGUCUGGAACGUUGCGGUCCCCUAUUCUUUUCAGAACUGCAUAUGGUGCAACCGCAUACUUUACUCUAAUUGCUGACUUUACCAUGCAACCCUUCAAAUCUUAUUGAAAGCAACAGGAGUGGGGUGAUCAAAAUUAGAACUAAACUUCCAAAACAACCCUCAAAAUGACGACCGUUUGCGGUCUCAAUUUCAUCAAUAUACCCCACAAAUACCAAACGAAGAACCCAACAAUCUGUGUGGUGGUCUGCACCUGGCUCCCACAAUGCAUUGCGAAAAACAAACAAAGUGUAACAUCAUCACACCUCCGAUCUAUUCCUCCACACAGCUGCCGCUUUCUUUACAAGCUUGUACAAAAAUGCUUUAUCUAAAAAUACACUUCAGUAAUAAUGACUGCAUCAGUUAAACGCCCGUAUAUAUUGUGUAUUGGUAUUUCCUUAACAGUUGUAUAACGACAUUUUAAAGACAAAAAUCUGGACCAUUUUAUUAAUCCAAUCCCUAUUUUCUGUACAAACAUUCUUUUGCUUGACCAACGGUGGAAUAUCGCGAUUCUGUACAUACUCUGAAAAAAAAAGUAUUUUAAUUGUGCAUGUACUUUAAUACAGAAGUAUUUUGCUUUGGUUUUUGAAUAAAGCAAGUCCUAUAGAUGAUAUUUUCUUUUCGGUUUUUAAUAGUUUGAUUUUGCAUUGUGUAACACAGGUCAUUUUGUGUUUGUUAAGAAGUAGGACUUUACAAAAUCUACAUUUCCCUCCCAAAAACCCCAACAAUCAAUAUUUGGUUUCAAAGCAACUUAGAAAGACAAUUAAAAAAAAAGAACAUUGCCUUUGGUUUCUUAAACUGCAUUCUGUGGCUGUAAUUUCAAUUGAUUCCAAAGCAGUUUCAGUAAAUUGAAAAGGUUUUUUUUGUAAACAUGACCUUUUUUUUCCUCGUAAAACAUUGUUUUAUUAAAACCUUGAUACGAUUGUCAUAUUUUCUACUAAGUAAAAUUACGUUAUGUCCAAAAUGAUUUCUGAAGGUUAAUGCAAUGAAAAGUGGUUGAAGUAAGUGUGCAGUGAAUUCUGGCGAAUAUGUUACCUGCUCUGAGAAACUGGAAAGAACAUUGUUUAAAAACUUGACAAUUUGUUGGCUUUUUGCUUAAACAAAAAACUAAGAACUCCCCUUUUGAAAGACACAUAUGUUAAUAAAAUAGAACAUGCCACUGAGAAGUUGCCAGCAACAGUUCAUACUGUACAGUUUGUCCAAAAAAAACCACCUGUUUAUGGGAUUAAAAAAAAAACAUAACUACAGUUUUAAAAGGCCUAAAUCAGUUAAACCACACCUAAGACCAAUUCCACAUUUUAAAAAACCUCUGUUUUCAAAGAGCACGUUACAUAACAUGGCAGGAGUCAAUGGUACAUUCACAUCAGCUGCCUAUGAUGGAAACCAGCAAAGACCGAAAACCAGUCUUCUAUCGUUACCAAUCAAAAGAAAGUGAUGAAAAUCAAAACAUCGAAAUUGUGAUGGUUGAGCUUGAAAUUCAAAAGAUUCCAUUCAAAAUGUAAUGUGACAAUUAUCAGCUGUUGACUUUUAUAUAAUUUUGUGAACUUAUCCUGUUUUUUUAAGGAAAGUUCAAAUUUAAGCUCGAUUGUUUUGUUUUUUUAAACCAAAGGUUUUUACAGGAGUGAUGUUGUUUUUGACCACGAAUGAUGAUUUGUACAUUUUAUUGUAAACUGGAAAUGCGAUGUGGGGUUAUUUUUAAAAAAAAAAGGGGGGGGGGGCUUUUUUCCCGAAAUUAUAAAUGACUGUUAAGUUAAAGAGACCAAAAUUAGGGCAAACUUUGUGCUUGCCAAGGGGAUUAAAUGUUGUUUACCCAUGGUGUUGAAUUAUAAAUUCAUGUCAUUGUAAAUAGUUUACAUUUCUCUUGUUUAAAUGUCACAAUCCUCUGUUUGUUCGACAUCUCAGUGUUUUUACUUUUUGGGGUUUUCAUUUUAUUGUUCCAUAUUUUGAGUUGCAAAAUUUGGUCAUGUGUUUUGGAGGUCACCAUAUAUUAUCUGUACAUCAUGUGUUAAUAUGUUGUAUGCAAAUUGAAAUGCCUGUACAAAAAAACAAAACAAAAAAGACAGAGCAAAAUUGUGUAGCACGUCUGUACAAUAAAACAGAUUUUGAAAGUAAAGCCAAGGCAAUUUGAGGCAUUUUCAUUGAGGAAAAAAGCAGGGAUCCCAAUAUCCGAAUAUCGUCUUUUUUUAAGGUAACCCAAAAAGGGUGAAGUAUGAAUAAUUGAAUAGAAAAAAGCAAACAUAUUUUUCUGCUAGGCUGUAAAUUUUUUCGUCAGCUCAUCUAAUUUGGAUAGGAUUAAUUUGAAAAAUAUGCCAACAAGCCAUCCUCAAAAACAGAAUAAUUCUCUGUCUGUUAGGUUUUUUUUCCUUUUUGUGAAAAGGAUAUCAAACAAGGCCUCAUUAAAUGCAAUUGAGCCAUAGAAGUUCAGAAAAUCGUGAAUUUCAGGUUUUUUCCUUGUUUUCUUUUUCGACCUUUAUUUGUGUGAUUCCUGUUUACCUCUUAGUGAACUGCCUUCAUUAAAUUGACGGCCCUACAUUCAAAAAAAGCUAAUCCUAUAUGUAUACAGAUAUUCUAUGUUAACAGGUUUGACACGUGUACAUUGAAAUGGAUUGUAAUAUUAAAAACAAUAUUUGAAAAUAAAGUAACUUCACUCUUGCUAUAUCAAGGGUGUCGAGGUUUAAUUUUGUACUGGCUUCAUUGUAUACUGUGUGAACAUUGAAACAAAGACACAAAUAUAAACACAUGAUUAUUUAUUAAGCUUGUAUUGUAUGUUAAUGCUACAAGUAACAAUGUUGAUAUGACUAUCGAGAAAAAAAACUUAAUGUAGCAAAAUUUUCAAAAAAAAUUAAAAACUAAAAACUAAAAAAAAAAUGUUGUUAUACCAUGAACUGACAACCUCUCCAUUAAAAUGCAUUAACAUUGUUAAUCAGAGGUUGUAAGUUGGUGGGUUCAGUGAAGAAAUGUGGAAAUAGGGAAGAGAAUGUUUAAACAAAAGUAAAUACAACUUUGUCAAAAAUACUUCCCAGUAUUAAUAUCAAAUAUGGAGAUAUAUAUAUUUUUGUUGGAUUUUUGAUGGGGUUCUAAGCAAAUUAGUGAGUUUUUUCAAUAGAAUUUCAAACAGCUUUGAAUGUUGACGUUAUACAUCUGCUUUUAAUUACCACUUGUUUGCCUACUUUGUACCAUAUUAAAAAAAAAUCACUUUGUGGAGUUAUUGAAGAAAAAAAUAUACAAAGUUUACCUCA